rnacentral:lncRNA from 1 species
CAAACGACGAGGAGACGCCGAUAACAAAUGUGCUCGAGUUGUCUAACGAUCUGUAUCACUGAUUCCUAUUGACAACUAAACCAACUAUGAAAGCAAUGUGCCUUCAGGCGAUGACUAAAGUUUAUGGAAAAUAUCACGAAGAGAUUGG